rnacentral:rRNA from 1 species
UACGUAGGGUGCGAGCGUUGUCCGGAAUUAUUGGGCGUAAAGGGCGCGUAGGCGGCUUUUCAAGUGACGGGUGAAAUCCCUCGGCUUAACCGAGGAACUGCCUGUCAGACUGGAAGGCUUGAGACCGGGAGAGGUGAGUGGAAUUCCCAGUGUAGCGGUGAAAUGCGUAGAUAUUGGGAGGAACACCAGUGGCGAAGGCGGCUCACUGGACCGGAACUGACGCUCAUGCACGAAAGCGUGGGGAGCAAACAGG